rnacentral:rRNA from 1 species
GACGAACGCUGGCGGCGUGCUUAACACAUGCAAGUCGAACGGAAAGGCCCUGCUUUUGUGGGGUGCUCGAGUGGCGAACGGGUGAGUAACGCGUGAGUAACCUGCCCUUGACUUUGGGAUAACUUCAGGCAACUGGGGCUAAUACCGGAUAGGAGCUCCUGCUGCAUGGUGGGGGUUGGAAAGUUUCGGCGGUUGGGGAUGGACUCGCGGCUUAUCAGCUUGUUGGUUGGGUAGUGGCUUACCAAGGCUUUGACGGGUAGCCGGCCUGAGAGGGUGACCGGCCACAUUGGGACGGGGAUACGGCCCAGACUACUACGGGAGGCAGCGGUGGGGAAUAUUGCACAAGGGGCGGAAGCCUGAUGCAGCAACGCCGCGUGCGGGAUGACGGCCUUCGGGUUGUAAACCGCUUUCGCCUGUGACGAAGCGUGAGUGAUGGUAAUGGGUAAAGAAGCACCGGCUAACUACGUG